rnacentral:rRNA from 1 species
GAUGAACGCUGGCGGCGUGCCUAAUACAUGCAAGUCGAGCGAACGGACGAGAAGCUUGCUUCUCUGAUGUUAGCGGCGGACGGGUGAGUAACACGUGGAUAACCUACCUAUAAGACUGGGAUAACUUCGGGAAACCGGAGCUAAUACCGGAUGAUAUUUUGAACCGCAUGGUUCAAAAGUGAAAGACGGUCUUGCUGUCACUUAUAGAUGGAUCCGCGCUGCAUUAGCUAGUUGGUAAGGUAACGGCUUACCAAGGCAACGAUGCAUAGCCGACCUGAGAGGGUGAUCGGCCACACUGGAACUGAGACACGGUCCAGACUCCUACGGGAGGCAGCAGUAGGGAAUCUUACGCAAUGGGCGAAAGCCUGACGGAGCAACACCGCGUGAGUGAUGAAGGUCUUCGGAUCGUAAAACUCUGUUAUUAGGGAAGAACAUAUGUGUAAGUAACUGUGCACAUCUUGACGGUACCUAAUCAGAAAGCCACGGCUAACUACGUG